UCUUAUGGACGAGCAAAGAGGGUGGUUUCUUGAGAUGGAAUCUACUCUUGGUGAAGAUGCUGUAAA
rnacentral:pre_miRNA from 1 species